rnacentral:rRNA from 1 species
UACGAAGGGGGCUAGCGUUGUUCGGAUUUACUGGGCGUAAAGCGCACGUAGGCGGUUUGUUAAGUCAGGGGUGAAAUCCCACAGCUCAACUGUGGAACUGCCUUUGAUACUGGCAAGCUAGAGUCCGGAAGAGGUAAGUGGAACUCCUAGUGUAGAGGUGGAAUUCGUAGAUAUUAGGAAGAACACCAGUGGCGAAGGCGGCUCACUGGACGCGUAUUGACGCUGAGGUACGAAAGCGUGGGGAGCAAACAGG